AAUCAAUUUUAAAAAAUAUGGAUCAUUGAAGAAGUGCAAUAUUUUUAAAAAAAGCCGUGAGUCUUUAAGCCCAGUGUGUAAAGACACACUCUGAGUUAUAACUCAGUGCACAACU